UGGGGAAUAUUGCACAAUGGAGGGAACUCUGAUGCAGCGACGCCGCGUGAACGAAGAAGGCUCUCGAGUCGUAAAGUUCUUUUAUAUGGGAAGAUAAUGACGGUACCAUAAGAAAAAGCCCCGGCUAACUACGUGCCAGCAGCCGCGGUAAUACGUAGGGGGCUAGCGUUGUCCGGAAUCAAUGGGCGUAAAGGGUUCGCAGGCGGAAAUGCAAGUCAGGUGUAAAAGGCAGUAGCUUAACUACUGUAAGCAUUUGAAACUGCAUAUCUUGAGAAGAGUAGAGGUAAGUGGAAUUUUUAGUGUAGCGGUGAAAUGCGUAGAUAUUAAAAAGAAUACCGGUGGCGAAGGCGACUUACUGGGCUCAUUCUGACGCUGAGGAACGAAAGCGUGGGUAGCAAACAGG
rnacentral:rRNA from 1 species